rnacentral:rRNA from 1 species
CACAUAGACGUAAAGAAAUAGAGCCGCAAUGUCGUUUCCAAGGUUCAGCUUAACAAAUGUUGGACUCUGCUGUGUUGAUCAUUUGACAUAUCAGCAGUUCAUAGCUUGUAUUUGUUGAGUGCAUUCUUUGGAAAUGAGCACUGUGACCGGUAUCUGUGCCGGUAGAAGUCUGAUAAAUCGUGGGCAGACUAUGUAUCUGUUUCCCCUUUUCAGCACCUACCAGGUUGCGGGACCGUGUAGCUGUUGCACUGGCUUGUCUCAGACUGUGUACUAUGCCACCAUUUGAAAAUCUGCAGUAUGCAUGCAUGUUGUAGUAAUUCAUGGUGUUUGUGGUGCAUUGCUCUGAAACAGUGCAAGGCGUCAGCAGUGUUUGUGUCGGCCACCUAUUUCACCCGUCUUGAAACACGGACCAAGGAGUCUAACAUGUGCGCAAGUCAUUGGGUGGUAAACCCAUAGGCGGAAUUAAAGUAAGCUCCUUUGGAGUUUGGCAGGAUCCUUGGCUUUUGUUGAGGCGCACUGCCGUCCUGCUUUGUAUGCAUUGUCAUUGAAGCAGAGACAGAGCGUACAUGUUAGGACCCGAAAGAUGGUGAACUAUGCCUGAGCAGGAUGAAGCCAGAGGAAACUCUGGUGGAGGUCCGUAGCGAUUCUGACGUGCAAAUCGA